GACGAACGCUGGCGGCGUGCCUAAUACAUGCAAGUUGAGCGAUGAAGAUUGGUGCUUGCACCAAUUUGAAGAGCAGCGAACGGGUGAGUAACGCGUGGGGAAUCUGCCUUUGAGCGGGGGACAACAUUUGGAAACGAAUGCUAAUACCGCAUAACAACUUUAAACAUAAGUUUUAAGUUUGAAAGAUGCAAUUGCAUCACUCAAAGAUGAUCCCGCGUUGUAUUAGCUAGUUGGUGAGGUAAAGGCUCACCAAGGCGAUGAUACAUAGCCGACCUGAGAGGGUGAUCGGCCACAUGGGGACUGAGACACGGCCCAAACUCCUACGGGAGGCAGCAGUAGGGAAUCUUCGGCAAUGGACGAAAGUCUGACCGAGCAACGCCGCGUGAGUGAAGAAGGUUUUCGGAUCGUAAAACUCUGUUGGUAGAGAAGAACGUUGGUGAGAGUGGAAAGCUCAUCAAGUGACGGUAACUACCCAGAAAGGGACGGCUAACUACGUG
rnacentral:rRNA from 1 species